UCAACUCGAUCCGCUCCUUGCAGACCGCGUUGCACAAUUUGUUGUUGAUAUGGGGUUCGCUUAUUUCCAUUAUCGGCAUUGCUUCCACCGCUACUUUAGACGUUAACGGUUGCCCGUUCUAUCUGACGUUUUGGAUUUCUAUUUGCGAUAAUUACCAUUGCUUUUGGUGUCAUAUGGUGGAAGAGAUGGGUUUAAGGAAGAUGAAAAAAAUUGAAAGGAGAGAGAAUGGAGAAAACAUUUGAAGAAUGAAAAAGAAAGAAAGAACAAGGAAACAGAAAGAAUAAAAAAUAAAUAAAUUUAACGGUGGACCAAUAAAUUUGAUUAAUUUAAUUAAUAACAAUAAUCAAAUUAACCAAAAAAAAAUAGAGUUUAAUAAAACCCAAAUAAUUUUAAUAAAAUCGAUUAAUCGACUUAAUUAUUUUGUUAUCGAGUUUUCGAUAAGCUUGCAAUUGUUUACUUUUUACUGAACCGGUCUGAUGUAAGAACGACAGUGAUUUUCAGUUAGAUCUCUGCUAAUGCUUUUAUUUGCAGAAUCGGGGAGAAGAAUCUAUGGAUUCGAAGGAAAAUCCAGAGAGAUAUAAGGUCUUACUCCAUUCAUUGCUGGAGCUCAGCGUAUGGCUGACCAUUGUUUAACUGAAUGCGGUAUGGCAACAAUACUUAUUUACAAGCAAGAUAAUUUAAAUAAUUACCACAGGCGAGAUUACUGCUAUGAAUUAGCACAUCAUUGGAGUUCUGUAGGUGAAUUCCAUCUGUAUUAGGACUGUCCCCAGGAGAUGAGACGGUAAUAUCGUGCACCACAACUCCCAUGCAAUUAUCGAACUUGAGAUGGCAUUGAGGACUGUUUUGAAUUGUUAUGCCCGUGACUGUCACGUUAAAACUCCCAUAAAACCUAAGUGCCUGUACAACGGAAGGAGAAACAUGAUUAAGUUACAGACCAUGAACAUAAAAUUCCAGGGGCAAGUUGAAACUGAAGUAGGUGAUUACCGGCAUUGGUGGCCUUUCUUGAACUGUGCUGUUUAAUGGAAUUAUGAGUUUUCUUUCAUCAUCAUAGGGAUCUUCAUACGGGGCAUCUUGCCACCACCCUGAGCCUCUUCCAUCAAGGAUGCCUUUUCCUUGAAUUGCUAUACCUUUCAGCUUUGUAAAUUCAAGCCACUGCAGAAGACCUUUUCCCCAGGGUCGAGCAUCAGUCGGAGCAAUAAUUGUGCCAUCCAGCUGAGAAAAAAAAAAUUUCAGCCACAUCAGCCGUGAUCAAGCAUCAAUUCUUUACUACCAUAACAAUCUCAAGGUGCAUCAGGUGUUCCAUUUCACUUGACAUCAACCUGCUAUUAUUGUAUGGACCAGAAAAUGAAAUGGGUCCUACAAGAAACACAAAUUCGGCUGGAACGACAACAGUUGAUGCCUCCACUUUACAUGCAGCUGCCCAUGUGUCUUGAAAUGCCUGCGUUGCAUCGUACUAAGUCAGGUUUGCAGCUAACGUGAUAAUAACUACAGGCAUAGAAUUACAGUUGAAUGGUGGUUAGCUGUUUGCUAUAGUAAUUAUUGCACCAAUCACGUCUAAACUACCCUAAAGAGAAUCAUUCUUUAAUUUGGAGUGGCCCCGCGCAACUUUGGUUAGUUGUGCUCUGCUCUCUUUUGUUUCUACCACAUUUUUUACUUGCUUUUCUUUGUUUCCAUAUAGGCUUUCUGCGCAUUUCAUAUGAUCAUAUUUUAACCAGUAAGUUCUGCUUUGCUAGCUAUUUUUUAAACUUUUCUACUGCAUUGGCCCCCUGAAAGUUGUUUUUCUAAAAAGUAAAAAACUGUCAACUUGCCUAUUGUAGCUUUAAUCAAACUUUAAUGGCCAAAAAAAUGCAUGGAAGUUUAAGAACUUCGAAUGCCCUCCUCUUCAAGUAACAACGGUGAAUUAAUCCACAUGGUCCAUUUUGUUGUUUGAUUUGGUGGGGAAAAUAAUUAGUUUCAAGUAUUGUAGCUCUUUUUUGUGCAUGUGUUUUUGGUCAUAUUCCUAAAGUAAUGGAAAAUUCUUAGUAUUAAGCAACACAUUGAACAUUGUAUUGAGCAUAAACGAGAAGUUGACAUUCUCACCUUAGUAUCAUCAGAUUUCCCAUCACCUUUAGCGCCAAAAUCUAGGACAUUGAAUACGGUAGACUGCUGAUCAUAGCUGUAACCGCCGUGGGGUGAAGGAGUUGAAGGGGGGACUUCUUCUUUAGGUUUAGGAGAUGGAGUAGCUUUGUGGGACUGGGGAGGAGGAGGUUUAGGCUUUGAUCCUCCAUUGUGGUAAUUGCGAUGACCAUGACUUCCUCCUUUCUUCUUAGAUAGUGCAGCAGCAUACCUGCUCUGCCUCCAGUGCUUGCCUCUUCUAGCAAUGCAUGUUUCAAUACUUGAACACCAUACAAAAAAUGCAAUUAAAAUCAUAAAUGUGAGACUUCUGAAGUUAACUCCACCCAUUUUUUUUCUUCUUCUUCUUUCUUAGAGUUUCUCAAGGUGAGAAACAGAGAUAAGAACAGAGAGUGAUAAAGAGAGACAAAGACAGAAGUGAAGCUUGUGCUUUGAGAGCCAAAAUAAUAUGUGAUGGUGUUUAUAUAGGGGGAAGAUGUCGAAGCAAUGAGGACUAUUAAGACAUAAUGCAAAAAUUUUAAAAAGAAAAUGCUUUGAUAAUCCUUUUCAUUCAUACUUCAUAUAAAAUUUUAAGGUAGCAAAUCCUUUAUAAAAAUAUAUAAUAUUUAAAAUAAGGUUAGAAGACAUUAUUAUAAUCUAAUUUACAUGCCCCAUGCAUGUGAAUCAUUCAAUUUCUUGAUGACCAAUGCAUAACAUCUAUUCUGUAUAUUCCAAUACCCGACACCUAUCGUCCUAGCUAUUAUAGGUAAAUAGACCAGAAAUGAAAAGCAAUGUAGUUUCCUCCAUUUUUUGCAAAAUUCGAAACACAGGUUUCACAUGUUUCUUCAUAA